UAUACCAAUUGUUGGAAAACAUGGGAGCCAGUUUACCCUUCUGAGGUGUCUCACAUUGUAGUGGGCCAGUUACAGACAACAUUGAUUGUUUACCACCACACUCAGUUAAAUUAACCUUUUAAUCACACCCUUUGUGCUACAUCCUCUACCCCCUUGCCCAGUCAAAUUGUCUCACUUUGAUAUGCAGUACCAUUGUGUGAUAUCCUCUACCCCCUACUUCAGUCCAACUCCCCCACACCUUGUUUCUUCCCCCCCAAUGACUGAUUACCUCCCCCCCCCCUUUCCCCGUGAUGUGUUUAAGAUAACCAUUUGGCCCUUUGUUUCCUUGAAGGAACAGGGUAUAAGUAUUCACUGUCUCCGUCAUUUGUUGGUUCUGUGUUUAUCUGUACUUGGGUAACAGACCCACUAGUUCCUUUGCUACAUUAAACGACCUAUUUUGAAACGAAGACGUGCCUGCAUUUAUUUUUCUACUUACAAAAGUACGGCGGAAUAAAUUGAACUCUUAAAAAUUCCACAUUAUUGGCGAGCCAGCCCAAAUCUGUCGUUCUUGUUGCGUUUUUCAAAAAAAAAAAAAAAAAAAACUGGGGAGGCUGACAUUUGCGUGUGACACUGGCCUACAGAAGAGACUUUCUUUUUUACGUUGACACCGAAUUCAAGAAAGGAUUACAGUAAGAGGACUGUUUUGGAAGCCAUUUGCCAACGCUGAAGGAAAAACGGACUUGAAGGCACGGAACGGACCACGUACAUUUAAUUAAUCGUGAUGAGGAUGAGGCUCCUGGUAUUCAGGAACAGGUUGGAGGUCAGCACUAAGUGGGACAUUCCUAUCAUAUUCAUAAACAGCACACAAUGUGUCAAGGACAAUACGCGCAGUUGAUGUUGGAUUCACCGAAUGGACAUCAGACAGGUGGAAAGAUGGUGAAGCAUUCACAACAGAGGACACAUGGAAAGUAUCAAGUGAAUCUUCAUUUAGAACACAUGAUUGAGGGUGGAAGACAGCUUCCAAGAAUACAAGAAUUCAUUGUGACAGUAAAAGCACGUAAUUGGACACAUUAUGAUAACGCAAUAACUAGUUGGGAUGAGGGACAGGAUAACCAGGGGAGAUGGGCCGUGGAGCAUGAAUCUACAUAUUACCCUGGUCUAACAAUGAUGCAUCUAAAUUUAUACGGUUAAA